UGGGGAAUAUUGCACAAUGGACGGAAGUUUGAUGCAGCGACGCCGCGUGGAGGGUGUAGGCCUUCGGGUUGUGAACUCCUUUUUCUCGCGAAAAAGGCACAGUUUUGGCUGUGUUGAUGGUAGUGGGGGAAGAAGCGCCGGCUAACUACGUGCCAGCAGCCGCGGUAAUACGUAGGGCGCGAGCGUUGUCCGGAUUUAUUGGGCGUAAAGAGCUCGUAGGUGGUUCGUCGCGUCUGUCGUGAAAGCCAGCAGCUUAACUGUUGGUCUGCGGUGGGUACGGGCGGGCUUGAGUGCGGUAGGGGUGACUGGAAUUCCUGGUGUAGCGGUAGAAUGCGCAGAUAUCAGGAGGAACACCGAUGGCGAAGGCAGGUCACUGGGCCGUUACUGACACUGAGGUGCGAAAGCGUGGGGAGCGAACAGG
rnacentral:rRNA from 1 species